AAGCCACCAGAGUACUUCUGAGUUUCGCUCUAUACCCUUUGUGAACAUACCUAUAACUAGUUGCUUCGGCGGGUAGGGUCUCCGUGACCCUCCCGGCCUCCCGGCCCCGGGCGGGUCGGCGCCCGCCGGAGGAUAACCAAACUCUGAUUUAACGACGUUUCUUCUGAGUGGUACAAGCAAAUAAUCAAAACUUUUAACAACGGAUCUCUUGGUUCUGGCAUCGAUGAAGAACGCAGCGAAAUGCGAUAAGUAAUGUGAAUUGCAGAAUUCAGUGAAUCAUCGAAUCUUUGAACGCACAUUGCGCCCGCCAGCAUUCUGGCGGGCAUGCCUGUUCGAGCGUCAUUUCAACCCUCAAGCUCUGCUUGGUGUUGGGGCCCUACAGCUGAUGUAGGCCCUCAAAGGUAGUGGCGGACCCUCCCGGAGCCUCCUUUGCGUAGUAACUUUACGUCUCGCACUGGGAUCCGGAGGGACUCUUGCCGUAAAACCCCCCAAUUUUCCAAAGGUUGACCUCGAUUCAGGUAGAAAUACCCGCUGACCUUACCAUAUCAUUUAGACAAGAGGA
rnacentral:rRNA from 1 species